CUCAGAGAUGCUGUCCUGCGCAAGGGUUCCCAGUAGCUUUAUUAAUAACAGCCUUACCUGGAAACAAGCUCAGUGUCCAUCAACAGCAAAACAAACAAACAAAUCGGGGCCUAGCCACACAGGACAGCACUGCUGUGCAAUGGGGAAGGCAGAAUCUCGAAGGACACGGCCAUGUUUCACAGCUGUUUAACUGGAAGAAUUCUUAUUACCUCCCGGUAAUCAUCGAUCCUAAAUACACGCUCGUAUCAAUUCUAUAUUAAAAGUUAUUGCUAGUAGUUUGGGGUCAUUUCCUGAACCAACCAGUCUUAAAAUCAAAGUUGAAGACUAUGCAAUGACCUCGUGGAUUCCAGCCCCC
rnacentral:lncRNA from 1 species